rfam:Halolamina pelagica strain CDK2 SY89_scf01, whole genome shotgun sequence.
AUCCCUCGAGGAUAGAGGAAGCCGUCAGCAGGCGGCUGAUCGAGAAAUCGGUC